GUUGGCGGCCAAAGCUCCGGGGCCGCCAGGUCCUGCAUCGAACCCGGAAGUUAAGCCCGCCAACGAUCCAUCGAGUACUAAGGUAUGCGAGUCCUUGGGAAAAACGGAACGCCGCCAAAC
rnacentral:rRNA from 1 species